GCCACAGAAGGAAAAGAACUGUUCCAAGAUGCAUGUUGAAUGGAUGGCCAAAAUCCAGAAUAAAUGAAGAACAUUUACAACUUAUUAAUGAGACAGACAACACUUCACUCCAUGGAGGUGAAUAAAAGUUCACAGGAAAAGCUAUGCAAGUCACUAAUAAGUACUUGAAAAGAUGCUCACCUUCACCAGGUAUCACAAGGUAUUAUUACCUCACAUCAACUAGAAUGAACAGCAUGAAAAACACUUAUGAAAAUAACACAUAUGAAGAGGAUGUCAGCAUUUGGAAAUCUCAUACAUGCUGCAAGGAAUGUGAAAAAAUUACAGCCCAUUUGUAAAACAGUAUCACAAUCCCUGAUACUAUUAAAAAUACACAUACCAUAUGACCUAAUAAUCCCAUCCUUAGGCAUUUAUAUGAAAGAAAAGGAAGCAUCACAAUACUAGACCUUAAACUAUACUACAAAGCUAUAAUAACAAAACAGCAUGAUAUUGGCACCAAAGUGACACAUAGACCAAUGACACAGAAUGGAAGACACAGAGACGAACCCACAUAAAUACAGUUAUCUCAUACUAGACAAAGUGCCAAAAACAUACAAUGGAGAAAAGAUAGCCUUUUCAAUAAAUGGUGCUGGGGAAAUUUUAAAUCCAUAUGCAGCAAAAUGAAAAUAAACCUCUAUCUCUCACCAUGCACAAAACUCAAUUCAAAGUGAAUCAAGGAAUUAGACAGAUGAAAGAAAUUAAAGGGAUAUGGAUAGGAAAAGAAGAACUCAAAUUAGCACUAUUUGCUGAUGAUAUGAUUCUAUACCUAGAAGAUCCAAAAAAUUCCACCAGAAAACUUCUAGAACUAGUAAAUGAAUUCAGCAAAGUAGCAGGAUACAAAAUCAACACCCAUAAACCAAAGGCAUUUCUGUAUAUCAGUGACAAAUCCUCAGAAAGGGAAAUAAGGAAAAUUACCCCAUUUACAAUAGCCUCAAAAAAAUAAAAUACUUGGGAAUCA
rnacentral:lncRNA from 1 species